ensembl:lncRNA
AUGCCAACACAGCUAGCAGGGACCUGUGCACCUCAAGUGCAGGGGCAGCAUGAUGCGGUAGUUGAAAACACUGUUGGAAACCAGAUCACACGGAUUAAUAAUGCCAAUAUGCUUAUUCCUGAAAUGACCACCAUACCAACAGUAAAUGGUCAGUCAGUGAUACAAAGUUUGCCUUUGGUGCCUCAAAGUGCUCUAACAGGGGGACCUGAGGGAAAGGUGCAUCUUACCCAGAAUUCUGUGCUUCUCUUGCCUGAGAGAACAAUAGAAGGUCAACAGGAGAAUGUCAACAAACCGUUUCAAGUGAGUUUCUGUCACAUUCUGUUGAAACAAUGUUAGGAAUGGUCUUUGUUCUUAAACAGAAUCUUAUUUGUCUUAUUUAUCAUUCAAUUUUGAAAGCACUGUUGGAUUUCUUAAAAGACUUGUAGAUUGAUAAAUUUUUUCACUGUUUUUAUUCACUUCAGGAGAGCAGAUUGCUUCCUCCAGCUUCAGUGGAAGCACCUGUUGCAGAGACUCACUCUCUGCCCUCUCCAUUAUCAACUUUACAACAGUCAUCACCAGAUAUCAGUUGUGACCCUGAGACAGUUUUGUCAUUAUCCCCACAACUGAUCACUCAGACAGGAGAGCAACAAUUUACUGAAGGAGAACAUAAUCUAUUGCAUCACAAUCAGGCUUUAGUACAUCCUCACCAACAGUGUCCAUUAAAACUGUCAGCCAGCCAAGAUUCCUUAGCUGCAACUCUGCUUGUCCAAAUGGACAACCACACCUCUUCUGCUGUAGGUGAAUCUGAGGCUUCGCUCACAUCCUUGACUGCAUCUGAGACUUUCUCUUCAUUGUGUGAGAGUGAAGAGACUCUUAUGCCAGCAUACCAUGGUUCAGAACACACUGAUAUUCUUUUGCAAACUCCUAUUGGCCAGACCUCAGACACAGACAACAUGAAGGGCUCAACACCCCCAGUCUCAGAUGAGCAGGAUUCCUCUGUGUUGAUUGCUCCUGAUGCUGAACCCAAGUGUCAGGAGGGGCCCGUAACGAGUAAGAGACCUUCCUCUUCCUCAGAGAAGUUGUUUAUGUAUCCAGAGCAAUUGGGCCAAAGCCAUGUGUUAACUGAGCUUAGCAGAACCCCAGAGUCAACAGCUCAUGUGUACAAGCAGCAAUACAAUGAACAUGACACAGAGCUCACAGUCCUUAGGAACAGUGGGAUCAUCUCUUUGGAUCAGCAUCAGUCACAGGAGAAGGUACAUCUCGGGCCCAGGCUGCUUGCCCACAACAAGGAAACCUACUCGGCACUUCAGAAGAACCAGGUCCAGGUGCAAAUAUUAUAAAUGAAACGUGAAAUCUUAGUCAAAUCAUGCUACAUUUCAGGAAUAUGUGAUAUUUCAAAAAGAUUCUGAAAAUAGAAUAAUUUCAGAUUCGAAGUAUUCUAUUAAAAUUCCUUCCAUGUCACAGACUUCAACUGUAAGCGUGGAUGCAAAAGAGGAGAAGCUGAGACUAGCAGAGAGGCAACACAGGUAAGUAAAAAUAGAUUUAUUCAGUAAGAUACUAAUUCUAAGUAGAGAUCAGUAUGAAUUUAAAAAUAUUUAAGAUGGAAAAAUGCCAUAGGCAGGGCUGUAGCUAGGGUAUGCAGGAAACGGUGUCAUUUGAAAUCACGUUCCAGCUGAAAUUGGGGGACUGGGGACUAGAUAUUGGCACCCUGGAACAGGCCAGCUGAUUGGGGAUUAAAGACAGUACAUUUCAAGGCACCUUACAUUAGGAAUGCUCGAUCCCAUUCCCAGAUAGCUACCUUUCCGUAGAGUUCAG